CCCCUAGAUGUUCUGGGCCGCACGCGCGCUACACUGAACAGUUCAACAAGUCUUAACCUUGGCCGAUAGGUCUGGGUAAUCUUUGAACGCUGUUCGUGAUUGGGAUAGACCUUUGCAAUUAUGGGUCUUCAACGAGGAAUUCCUAGUAAACGCAAGUCAUCAGCUUGCAUUGAUUACGUCCCUGCCCUUUGUACACAACGCCCGUCGCACCUACCGAUUGAAUGGUCCGGUGAAAUCUCGGGACGGCGGCUUGGUCGCUUGCGUCCGACUGCUGAAACUUGAUUAAACCAUAUCAUUUAGAGGAAGGUGAAGUCGUAACA
rnacentral:rRNA from 1 species